AUUAUGACACACUGUUACCAUGGAGACCAGAAGCUACUCAGCUCCUGCGUGGGUUGAUUUUCCCCCUUUCUAACCAGCUGUUAUUCCAUCAGAGUAAAAGAUUUUUACCAGGGUUUUUAUGUUCAUUGACCAAUUUGGUCCUGUAAGACAAGCAGUCUUGGCCUUACUAUUCCAGCAGCAAAAAGAGCACUGAGGCACAGAGGGAUUUGUUCAAGGUCAUACAAAUAAUGUUCUAAAAAUGAUAUACUGAGAAGCACUUCCAGAAAGAUGCAGUAAGGAUCUCAAAAAAUGCAUUCCUCCAGAAAAACAAGAACACUGGCAAAAAUUAUAGAAAUCAACUUUUUCAGAACUCUGAAAAUCAACUAACAGCUUGUCACAAUUUAAAGAGCAUUUAUUCAAUAGAAACUUGUUGCAAGAUAGCUGGAGGUUGCUCACUAUCUGGGCUCCAUGAAGGAAAGAUGUGGGGAGAAGAGACCUUGAUCCUAACACUUGGAACUGCCAGCAAUCACUCACUUAUACAUCUCUUGCUGUUUGUGAAAGGUCACGAUCUCGGGGUCAUGAAAUUAAGGAUUAGUAACCUUAAUUCCAUUUGCAACUUUAAUUCACAUUUGCCAUGUUACAUAAUAUAUUCACAGAUUCUGGGACUUAGAACUUGGACAUCUUAGAGUGGAGAUCCAUCAAAGGAGAGAAAGAAGAUGACUUGGGACUUCUGAAAUAAAAUACCACUAAGAAAACUUUUAGGAAUAGAAACAACAAUAAAUAAAUAAACAACAGCAAAGUACAGAAGAUCCUAAUAUUUAGGAAGAUGGAUUUGAAAGAACAAUCAGGAAGGAGAGAGAAAAGGACUCUUCUGAGACACAUCAGUUACUAUUCUUCCAUUUUAGAAUGCUCUAUACAUUAAGCAAUAUAGGUCUGAUGGACCCGCAGAAAAGGCAGGAAUUAUGACCUCAGCUCUUAUGUUUAUGCAUCCCAGUGGCUAUCCCGCUGACUUAGCACAGCCUGCAAUAUCCCAUUUUAUUUGGUAUCUGAUUCUCCAACUCAAGAGCAUCCUUGGAGGCCUACUUGGCAUUGAAGACAGAGCAACUGUUCAGAAAGUUUUAGCAUCUCCAUAAAAUAAGUGACAAUGAUUUUCUCAAUACCUAAGCAAAGUGGGAGGUAACAUUUCUAAAAGAUGCUUCCCAUAGCUGCUCUCAACCCAUCUUUUUUUUUUUUUUUCAACCCAUCUUUUAAAAUACUGAAAUUGCAGAUCCUAAUUGGCCUCUGGCACACAUUUGUCCUAUGGUUGAUCCUGGGGUAAACAUAGACAUUAAGUGUGAUUGAUAUCCCUGGAGCUAAACUAUUUGAGUUUAUUUGCAGGUCAUCACUCACUGGUUGUACAGUCUUGGACACAUUAGAAAAUUUCUUUAUUUCUCAGUUUCCAAUUUAUACUAUGAGGAUGAUGAUAGUAAUAAUAUAGGCCUCAUAAGAUUGUUGACAGGGUUGGAUUAGCACCCUCAAGUAAAUGCUGGUCAACAUCAUUGGGAGGAGUGGUUCAAAUUUUAGCAAUGACAAUUUUUCUUAAAGGUUUAAACCAGAUUAUUUACGCUAAAAUAAGAAUGAGAUGUUUUGAGAGAAGUGGCCUAUUUUAACCCUCAGAGUUCUAAACAAUACUGGAUUGAAAGAUUUUACCAAUAUUGAAAUUGUGUUGUAAGAAGGGACCCUGAUGAUUAGAAAUAGAUGCCUGAGAC